CUCUACAGUUUUUGUUAUUAUCUGUGGCAAGAAAGUGUGCGUGUGCUAAAGAAAUACAGACUUCGUUGCUAGAAUGUAAUGAAACGGAAGUCAUAGAAUGGAAAAAGAAAAUCAUUACAAGAUCCUUUUUUGACAGAGUGUCUUGCUUCAAUACAAAACUCAUUAAGAAGAUAAUAAACGGCCUAAUUAACAAUCAUUCAAAGGUUCCACUAACUGAGUGAAUAAGGAUUAUAACUUGAAAAUGAUCAUACAUGGAGAGGUUCCUAUAGUUACCAUUAGAAAAGUAGAAAGACCUUCACAGUGUGCACAUCUCACUAAGCUAUUGGUUAUGGAUGUAAAAGGAUUAUACUUUACAGUACAUGGAAUGAAUUUCUGAGUUCAUUUAAACAGAGUUGUGAUCAAGUUGUAAUAUGUGCAUGAUUUAUAUUGUCGUCAUUUAAAUGCACUCUAAUUUGUAGCAAAAUCCACAUUUCACUGAAAUAUUUAUAUUUGUGUUUUAUAUUUUCUCAGUACUGCCAAAUGUUUACUCCUUUUCUUAAUAUCUCCUUUCAUGUUUCUGUGCACUGCAUACCUGCAUACCUGCAUACCUGCAUACCUGCAUACCUGCAUACCUGCAUACCUGCAUACCUGCAUUCCAUCACUCCAUUUGGUUGCUUUGGGCACAGUGACAUAUUUCUGUAAUGCCAUCGUGAGGGAAG
rnacentral:lncRNA from 1 species